rnacentral:rRNA from 1 species
AUUGCCUCAGUAACGGCGAGUGAAGCGGCAAAAGCUCAAAUUUGAAAUCUAGCACCUUCGGUGUUCGAGUUGUAAUUUGAAGAUGGUAACCUUGGGUUUGGCUCUUGUCUAUGUUCCUUGGAACAGGACGUCAUAGAGGGUGAGAAUCCCGUCUGAUGAGAUGCCCAUUCCUAUGUAAGGUGCUAUCGAAGAGUCGAGUUGUUUGGGAAUGCAGCUCUAAGUGGGUGGUAAAUUCCAUCUAAAGCUAAAUAUUGGCGAGAGACCGAUAGCGAACAAGUACAGUGAUGGAAAGAUGAAAAGAACUUUGAAAAGAGAGUGAAAAAGUAC